rnacentral:misc_RNA from 1 species
GAAUUUUAGGGCGUCUUACUUCGGUAAGGGCCUGACCUCCACUCUCUAACACUGUGCACUCAUUGGCAGGAAAGAAAUAAGGAGAGUAUUUAUACUUGGAAUACGAUUUCCUGCGGCUCACUUUUAAACACCAGUCAAAGUAUGUAUAUAAAUAAAAUAAGAAAAACUUUCAACAACGGAUCUCUUGGCUCU